CCCCCUUCCCGAGUUGACCAGGGACUCCUGGACCAGAGGCUGAGGCCAUCAUACAGGCUCUUCUCUGGUUCUGCUCCUGAGGUCCUACCUGGGCCCCCAAAAGUAACCUGGCCCCUCAGCUCCGGGCCGGGCACGACUGGCUGCCCUCCUGCCCCUCCACCACCGGCCCCAGCCGCGUGUGCCUCUCCCCCCAGCAGAGAUGACGCAUCCAGCUGGUACCUCCCGGGUCACAGGCCCGUCUCCCCGGAGACUAAACACCUGCGGGCACAGAAUCUUGGUGCCGGUUCCCGGCACAUGGGUGAUGAGUCUGAUCCGCUUCACCUGCCGGCACUAAUCAAGGUCAUUUUCAGAUUCGCACGUCCUCCAAGCCGCAUGGAGCCUGAACAGUAAGAUGUUUGCUCGAGCUGUUUCCAGGAGCUUGGCGACAGCUGCGUCUAUGUGAGGUCAGCCAGUUAAGACGCACCAGCGUCGUGGCGUGACCUUUGGAAGGUGCGGAGCCUGAAGCCUAGGGACACCUGCGCAAAAUGACGAUUAUCACACCUUUUCCCAAUCGCCUCUCCCCACGCUCCCCACGCUUCAGACCGCCUUGCCGCUUGAUUGGUUACGCCAUAAAGACCCCAGCCCCUCGCCUUCCGGGAGGUGGAUUGGAGACUUGUUCUCCCGGUUCCUCGCUCGGCUGCUUUGUGAAGAAAUCCUCUCUUUGCUGCAAACCCCGGCGUCUCGGCUCCUGCGUGUCUGGCAAAAUGAACAUGGUGAGGGAUUUCCAUCAGAGGCUCGCUGCUGCUGCUGCUGCUGCUGAUCCCCAGGGCACGGAGCUCCUGGCCGGACAGGCUCUUCUGCACACCAGCACGUGAAGAUCCAGGGAGGGUGACUACACAGCAUGUGCUGCAUGCGGAGCUGCUGACUGGGGAAGUCUGGAGGGCGGAAGGGACCGAGGUGGAGUUCUGGCUUUGGUUCUGCUGCAGAGAGAGAAGCGUGAGUCAGAACUGAGACCCGAGGCAGCCGGAGCAGUUCUGCCUCAUCUGAUGUUAAGACUUGAUUCCCUGUUCUUCCAAAUGCUUAGAACUUAUGGGCUACCCGGCAAGACUUCCUUCACAGGACCUGCUACAUUUACCUCCUAACGCCCAGCCACCACGGUGAUAGAAACUGGGCCCAAACGGUAUUCUAUGACAGAGAGAUCUAACCACAGGACCCUCGUGGAAGGGUCUUUGUCUCCCCUGUUUCCCUAGGAGAAUGGGGUGGAAGGAGAGCAGUCAUUCAGACUGGAGGACCCCUGGUGGAGGAGGCAGCAUAGUCGUGGUUAAAGAGAUAACGAGCAAAAACACCUGAACUGGAGUGUCCCACCUCACUAACAAAUAUUCAUUAGAGGAUUACUUUGUACCAGAAUUUCUACAAGGCAGUAGGCGUUCAGCAAUAAACAACACAAACAUAGUCUAGGCCCCCCAGUGAAUGGUACCCCUGACCAAUUCAAGCCCUGUUAACUUCCAUAAUUAAUCUAAAUAAAAAUUUCCCCAGGGGGAGGAACCAAGAUGGCGGAGUAGAAGGACAUGCUCUCACUCCCUCUUGCAAGAACACCAGAAUCACAACGAGCUGCUGGACAAUCAUUGACAGGAAGACACUGGAACUCACCAAAAAAGAUACCCCACAUCCAAAGACAAAGGAGAAGCCACAAUGAGACGGUAGGAGGGGCACAAUCACAGUAAAAUCAAAUCCCAUAACUGGUGGGUGGGUGACUCACAGACUGGAGAAUAAUUAUACCACAGAAGUCCACCCACUGGAGUGAAGGUUCUGAGCCCCACGUCAGGCUUCCCAACCUGGGAGCCCGGCAACGGGAGGAGGAAUUCCUAUAGAGAAUCAGACUUUGAAGCCUAGCAGGAAUUGAUUGCAGGACUUCAACAGGACUGGGGGAUACAGAGACUCCACUCUUGGAGGGCACAAAGUAGUGUGUGCAUUGGGACCCAGGGGAAGGAGCAGUGACCCCAGCGGAGACUGAACCAGACCUACCUGCUAGUGUUAGAGGGUCUCCUGCAGGGGUGGGGGGUGGCUGUGGCUCAUCGUGGGGACAAGGAAACUGGCAGCAGAAGUUCUGGGAAGUACUCCUUGGCGUGAGCCCUCCCAGAGUCUGCCAUUAGCCCCACCAAAGAGCCCAGGUAGGCUCCAAUGUUGGGCUGCCUCAGGCCAAACAACCAACAGGGAGGGAACCCAGACCCACCCAUCAACAGUCAAGUGGAUUAAAGUUUUACUAAGCUCUGCCCACCAGAGCAACAGUCAGCUCUACCCACCACCGGUCCCUCCCAUCAGGAAACUUGCACAAGCCUCUUAGAUAGCCUCAUCCACCAGAGGGCAGACAGCAGAAGCAAGAAGAACUACAAUCCUGCAGCCUGUGGGGGGGGGGGGGGAAAUUCACAGAAAGAGAGACAAGAUGAAAAGGCAGAGGGCUAUGUACCAGAUGAAGGAACAAUAUAAAACCCCAGAAGAACAACUAAAUGAAGUGGAGAUAGGCAACCUUCCAGAAAAAGAAUUCAGAAUAAUGAGAGUGAAGAUGAUCCAGGACCUCAGAAAAAGAAUGGAGGCAAAGAUCGAGAAGAUGCAAGAAAUGUUUAACAAAGACCUAGAAGAAUUAAAGAACAAACAAACAGAGAUGAACAAUACAAUAACUGAAAUGAAAACUACACUAGAAGGAAUCCAUAGCAGAAUAACUGAGGCAGAAGAACGGAUAAGUGACCUGGAAGGCUUGAAUGGUGGAAUUCACUGCUGCGGAACAGAAUAAAGAAAAAAGAAUGAAAAGAAGUGAAGACAGCCUAAGAGACCUCCAGGACAAUAUUAAACGCAACAACAUUCACAUUAUAGGGGUCCCAGAAGGAGAAGAGAGAGAGAAAGGACGCAAGAAAAUAUUUGAAGAGAUUAUAGUCGAAAACUUCCCUAACAUGGGGAAGGAAAUAGCCACCCAAGUCCAGGAAGCACAGCAAGUCCCAUACAGGAUAAACCCAAGGAGAAACACGCUGAGACACAUAGUAAUCAAAUUGGCAAAAAUUAAAGACAAAAAUUAUUGAAAGCAGCAAAGGAAAAAUGAAAAGUAACAUACAAGGGAACUCCAAUAAGGUUAACAGCUGAUUUCUCAGCAGAAACUCUACAAGCCAGAAGGGAGUGCCAUGAUAUAAAGUGAUGAAAGGGAAGAAACUACAACCAAGAUUACUCUAUCUGGCAAGGAUCUCAUUCAGAUUCGAUGGAGAAAUCAAAAGCUUUACAGACAAGCAAAAGCUAAGAGAAUUCUGCACCACCAAACCAGCUCCACAACAAAUGCUAAAGGAACUUCUCUAAGUGGGAAACACAAGAGAAGAAAAGGACCUACAAAAACAAACCCAAAACAAUUAAGAAAAUGGUAAAGGAACAUACACAUCGAUAAUUACCUUAAACGUGAAUGGAUUAAAUGCUCCAACCAAAAGACACAGGCUUGCUGAAUGGAUACAAAAACAAGACCCAUAUAUAUGCUGUCUACAAGAGACCCACUUCAGACCUAGGGACACAUACAGACUGAAAGUGAGGGGAUGGAAAAAGAUAUUCCAUGCAAAUGGAAAUCAAAAGAAAGCUGGAGUAGCAAUACUCAUAUCAGAUAAAAUAGACUUUAAAAUAAAGAAUGUUACAAGAGACAAGGAAGGACACUACAAAAUGAUCAAGGGGUCAAUCCAAGAAGAAGAUAUAACAAUUAUAAAUAUAUAUGCACCCAACACAGGAGCACCUCAAUACAUAAAGCAAGUGCUAACAGCUAUAAAAGAGGAAAUCGACAGUAACACAAUAAUAGUGGGGGACUUUAACACCUCACUUACACCAAUGGACAGAUCAUCCAAAAUGAAAACAAAUAAGGAAACAGAAGCUUUAACUAACACAAUAGACCAGAUAGAUUUAAUUGAUAUUUAUAGGACAUUCCAUCCCAAAACAGCAGAUUACACAUUCUUCUCAAGUGCACACGGAACAUUCUCAAGGAUAGAUCACAUCUUGGGUCACAAAUCAAGCCUCAGUAAAUUUAAGAAAACUGAAAUCAUAUCAAGCAUCUUUUCUGACCACAACGCUAUGAGAUUAGAAAUGAAUUACAGGGAAAAAAACAUAAAAAACACACAUGGAGGCUAAACAAUACGUUACUAAAUAACCGAGAUCACUCAAGAAAUCAAAGAAGAAAUCAAAAAAUACCUAGAAACAAAUGACAAUGAAAACAUGACGACCAAAACCUAUGGGAUGCAGCAAAAGCAGUUGUAAGGGGGAAGUUUAUAGCUAUACAAGCCUACCUCAAGAAACAAGAAAAAUCUCAAGUAAACAAUCUAACCUUACACCUAAAGGACCUAGAGAAAGAAGAACGAACUAAACCCAAAGCAGAAGGAAAGAAAUCAUAAAGACCAGAGCAGAAAUAAGUAAAAUAGACACAAAGAAAACAACAGCAAAGAUCAAUAAAACUAAAAGCUGGUUCUUUGAGAAGAUAAACAAAAUUGAUAAACCAUUAGCCAGACUCAUCAAGAAGAAGAGGGAGAGGACUCAAAUCAAUAAAAUUAGAAAUGAAAAAGGAGAAGUUACAACAGACACCACAGAAAUAUAAAGCAUCCUAAGAAACUACUACAAGCAACUCUAUGCCAAUAAAAUGGACAACCUGGAAGAAAUGGACAAAUUCUUAGAAAGGUAUAACCUUCCAAGACUGAAACAGGAAGAAAUAGAAAAUAUGAACAGACCAAUCACAAGUAAUGAAAUUGAAACUGUGAUUAAAAAUCUUCCAACAAACAAACGUCCAGGACCAAUGGCUUCACAGGUGAAUUCUAUCAAACACUCAGAGAAGAGCUAACACCCAUCCUUCUCAAACUCUUCCCAAAAAUUGCAGAGGAAGGAACACUCCCAAACUCAUUCUAUGAGGCCACCAGCACCCUGAUACCGAAACCAGACAAAGAUACUACCAAAAAAAAAAAAAAAAAAAAAAAAUUACAGACCAAUAUCACUGAUGAAUAUAGAUGCAAAAAUCCUCAACAAAAUACUAACAAACAGAAUCCAACAGCACAUUAAAAGGAUCAAAUACCAUGAUCAAGUGGGAUUUAUCCCAGGGAUGCAAGGAUUCUUCAAUAUACGCAAAUCAAUCAAUGUGAUACACCACAUUAACAAAUUGAAGAAGAAAAACCAUAUGAGCAUCUCAAUAGAUGCAGAAAAAGCUUCUGACAAAAUUCAACACCCAUUUAUGAUAAAAACUCUCCAGAAAGUGGGCAUAGAGGGAAGCUACCUCAACAUAAUAAAGACCAUAUAUGACAAACCCACAGCAAACAUCAUUCUCAAUGGUGAAAAACUGAAAGCAUUUCCUCUAAGAUCAGGAACGAGACAAGGAUGUCCACUCUCACCACUAUUAUUCAACAUAGUUUUGGAAGUCCUAGCCACGGCAAUCAGAGAAGAAAAAGAAAUAAAAGGAAUACAAACUGGAAAAGAAGAAGUAAAACUGUCAUUGUUUGUAGAUGACAUGAUACUAUACAUAGAGAAUCCUAAAAAUGCUACCAGAAAACUACUAGAGCUAAUCAGUGAAUUUGGUAAAGUUGCAGGAUACAAAAUUCAUGAACAGAAGUAUCUUGCAUUCCUAUACACUAAUGAUGAAAAAUCUGAAAAAGAAAUUGUGGAAACACUCGCAUUUACCAUUGCAACAAAAGGAAUAAAAUACCUAGGAAUAAACCUACCUAGGGAGACAAAAGACAUGUAUGCAGAAAACUGUAAGACACUGUUGAAAGAAAUUAAAGAUGAUACCAACAGAUAGAGAGAUAUACCAUGUUCUUGGAUUGGAAGAAUCAAUAUUGUGAAAAUGACUAUACUACCCAAAGCAAUCUACAGAUUCAAUGCAAUCCCUAUCAAAUUACCAAUGGCAGUUUUUACGGAACUAGAACAAAUCAUCUUAAAAUUUGUAUGGAGAUACAAAAGACCCCGAAUAGCCAAAGCAGUCUUGAAGGAAAAAAAUGGACUGGAGGAAUCAGACUCCCUGACUUCAGACUAUACUACAAAGCUACAGUAACGAAGACAAUAUGGUACUGGCACAAAAACAGAAACAUAGAUCAAUGGAACAAGAUAGAAAGCCCAGAGAUUAAACCCACACACCUAUGGUCAACUAAUCUAUGACAAAGGAGGCAAAGAUAUACAAUGGAGAAAAGACAGUCUCUUCAAUAAGUGGUGCUGGAAAACUGGACAGCUACAUGUAAAAGAAUGAAAUUAGAACACUCUGUAACACCAUACACAAAAAUAAACUCAAAGUGGAUUCUAGACGUGAAUGUAAGACCGGACACUAUAAAACUCCUAGAGGAAAACAUUGGAAGAACACUCUUUGACAUAAAUCACAGCAAGAUCUUUUUUGAUCCACCUCCUAGAGUAAUGGAAAUAAAAACAAAAAUAAACAAAUGGGACCUAAUGAAACUUCAAAGCUUUUGCACAGCAAAGGAAACCAUACACAAGACAAAAAGACAACCCUCAGAAUGGGAGAAAAUAUUUGUAAACGAAUCAACGGACAAAGGAUUAAUCUCCAAAAUAUAUAAACAGCUCAUGCAGCUCAAUAUUAAACAAACAACCCAAUCCAAAAGUGGGCAGGAGACCUAAAUAGACAUUUCUCCAAAGAAGACAUACAGAUGGCCAAGAAGCACAUGAAAAGCUGCUCAAGGGCUUCCCUCGUGGCGCAGUGGUUGAGAGUCCACCUGCCGAUGCAGGGGACACGGGUUCGUGACCCGGUCCAAGAAGAUCCCAUAUGCCGCGGAGCGGGUAGGCCUGUGAGCCAUGGCUGCUGAGCCUGAGCGUCCAGAGCCUGUGCUCCGCAACGGGAGAGGCCACAACAGUGAGAGGCCCACGUACUGCCAAAAAAAAAAAAAAAAAUAGAAAA